GUACGGUCUUUGAUAACUGGUCACUGAUACCAGGGUUUCAGAAAGUCAUAGGAUAAGGUGCCGACAUACGCUCUGCCCAAUUGGAAAAUUUCUUCGACGUAAAUCGUCUUUCUUUCGCUAUCAAAUUUACACUAAUCAACUGAAUUAUUUCCGAAUCAGGUACAAUUUGGUCCAAUUACUGUUACUCAAAGGUUGGUAACCAUGAGAUUUAGCUCAAAUCACAUGUGUGGUUAGUAUUAGUUUGGCUGAAAUCUAAUGACGAUAAUUUUAUUGGUGAACUUUUUGUAGAUCGGUAUAAUAUACGAGAUUUAUGAAUCUUAGAUUUGGAUGAUUAUUAAUUUUCUAGAAAUAUACCCCACUGGUUUGGGGAAAAACUUACACUUCCAUGGAUUAUGAAUAAAGAUAUUUUCACAAAACGGGUUUCUCGAUCUUCGUAUUAAACAUCUUCAAGUUUUAGAGCUUGCAUAUAAGCUUGUUAGUGGAACCAUCCCUUGUUUUCUAGGAGAGUUGAAUGUCAUGGUUAAGAGAACUACAUUUGCAGACUAUUGCUAAGGGAACAAAGAUCCAUGACAUGUACUUUCCUAGACAACGAGGGAUGGUUCCUGAACAACCUUAUGUAUUUUCCAACGUUUGAAGACUUGCAGUUUUGCACAAAGAUCGAGGAGUUCUACCGGUGAAGUUUUAUUUGAAUGAUUUCUAAGGUGUAAUUUGUUUUCCAAUCCAUUGGGGUAUAUUUCCAAAAAAUUUGAUAUUGUUCAAAUCUAAGACUCUUAAAUCUCGUAAAGCUUUUACUUUUGAACAAAUAAAGUUAGCGUCAUUUGGUUUUAACCAAAGUAAUGUUGAAGUAUUAAGAGCUAUCAAAAUUGGGCUAAUACCUCAUGGUAACCAAUUUUUGCAUAUUCUCAAAUUUGUUGCAUGUCAAUACAACAUGAGCUGCACUUUUGAGAGAUAAUUGAGCAGAUAAAACCAAGUUUAGUCAGAUGACUUGCUCAGAAGGCUUAGGUCCCCUUUGAUAGUUUCUGUCUGAGAAAGUGCUGUCUGGUAAAGUUUUCUGACCGGGAAAGAAACUAUGUUGUUUGAUUGUAAAUCUGAUUGACUGUGUUGAAUGAUGAAAAAAAGUAAUAUUUCAAUAAAAAAAUAAAUUUAAAAAAGUUAAUUAAAAAAAUCAAUAAUCCAAUAAAGAAAGAAAUAGUCGGGGUUUGGUGUAUAAUUGUUUUUCCAACCCAUUCAGCCAGAAAGAUAUGAUUUUGGGGCUUUCUGGAAAAGACAUAUCUUAUUGAAAAUACCCCUUCUUUUGUGCAAAUCAAACAGUCUUUCCAGUCCAUUUAGUCAGAAAGAUUUGUUUGGACCUGAAAGAUGCGUAUCAAACGGGGCCUUAAUGUCUAUUUUUUUUUCUCGCUAUUUUACCUCUUUUCUUGAAGUACAUAUUGUGAUAUAUAAAAGGUUAUACUUAUUUACCUUUGAUCAUAAGGCUACAGCGUUGUCAAGUUUGGAUUCAGAUAUGACGCUAUUUAUUUGCAUUUAUUUUGAUCAUAUGUCUAUACGAAUUGGACCGGAUUAUCAUGAGGGUUGGCAAGUAGUAUAAACGGAUAUGUCAUAUAAAAGUAUCGUUUUGGACCUUGUAAUGGUUUGUUUAUAUUUGCUUUUUCUAUAUGAAAAAUGCUAGUAUAAGGGAAAUAUGUAGUAUUUAAACUAAUUAAAUAAUCAAUUAGGCAAUAUUUUAAAAGCUUAUUGGUAUUAAUCCGUGGAUAGUUAACAAGUGCCAUAAAUUUAUCUCUUCUAUGUGAAAUUGGAUAGCUCUAAAAUCUAAAUUGAUAAAUUUGUCACUUCUAUGUGAAAUUGGAUAGCUCUAAAAUCUAAAUUGUUAUGUGUUGAACUAGUAAAAACUAGAAUGAAUUACACCAUUCAUCUUCGUACAUAUGUCAAAACAUGAGUUUAGUCCAUAUUUUCAAAUAUUAACUCGGACGGGAUUGUCUCUGUAUUUGUUUAUUUUUUAUUUAUUUAUUUAUUUUUUUUGCACGGUUAGUCCUUAUUGUCGUUAGCCGUUAAUUGUUUUCGUUUAAGUGCUUUCGUCUUUUUAGGUCCAACCCUUUAUAAAUAUUAGGGUAAAUUAUACAUAUGGUCCUUAUGGCAUGGAUUAAUUUGCAUGGUUGGUCCCUAAAUUAACUUUUUUAUUUGCUGUCUUUAUUUAAUUAAUUUAUUUUUUAUUUCUUUAGUUUUCAUUCUUUAUGUAAAUAUUUUAGUUAUUUAUUUCUUUAACACUAUUCUUAUCCCAUUCUAAUUCAAAGUUCCAACACCAUGUUCACACCUGUGUUAAUGAAAUUUAGAUAUAGGGUUUGUGGAUAAGGCAUGGAUGAUGGAAUAACAUGGGAUUGCGGGUGUGGUUUAGUGAGCUUUUGUGGAACUAUGAAAGAUGAAAAAGCAUUGUUCGAUGAAAUUCCCAAAUUUGCCGUCGAGUAGGAAUUCACAUGGUUUGUCUCGCGUUGCUUAUCAUCCAGAUCACAAGCUUUGAUGAUAGCCAUUGUUUCAGCAUGAAUGAGUCUGUUGAGUUCUUUGGUUUUCUUAAUAACAGAGACAUUCAUAUCCCAUGACUUGGGAAGGGAAUUCAACAGUUUCUUGUUUAUAUCUGAUUGUGGCACAAAAAUUCUGGCGGUACUCAUUUCGGUGGUAAGAGUAAUAAAUCUCUGCAGUUAGGCCUCCAGUGUCUCUUCGAGAACCUGAUUGAAUAUGUUGAAUUUUUAACGGAGCAUGUCUUGUCUGCUCUGUUUCAUGUCUUCAUUACCUUCAUAGAUCUCAUUCAAUACUUCCCAAAGUGCCAUGGUAGAAUCAUACUCCCUGAAUCCUUGAGUGAUGACAGGGGAUAGAGCCAUUGUAAGAGUUGUCAGUGCUUUUUCUUGUUCUUCAAUUUUAUCAAAAUCUGCAUCAGUGUAGUCUUGCACUUCUUUUUCAAUAAUAGUUCCAUCUUCCGGGGUAUUUGUGAUUCUAACAGGACCCCUAAGAUUGUUGCGCCAAAUCUUGAAAUGUUUCAUUUUGAUGUAUUUUUCGAUUCUAUAUUUCCAUUCCAGAAAUCCUUUUGCGAAUAAGAGACGUGGAAUUCUCGUGGUAGUUCCCAUGAUUGAGUCUAGUUCUUGACGAAUUGCAUUGUAUUGAGGUUCCAUUUUUUUGUUUUGUUUUUUUUAAUAAUUUUUUUUAAACAAAGAAAAUUACAAUUGAAAAAGGUUUACAACCCAAAAUGGUCUCCAGCCAAAUAUGGUUUACAGCCAAAAACGGGUUCAUAACAAAAAACAGGUUUACAGCCAAAACAAGUUCACAGCCGGGUUUUCGGCCGAAAAUGGUCCACAGAUGAAAACUUCAGCUGAAUAUUGAUGAAUAGUGGUCAACCAAAACGCCCAGAAUUUUGACGAAAAAGACGAUUUCAAGCAGAUUUUCAAUCCUUUUGGCCUUGAAUUCACGAUCAACAGCAAAAACCCAGUAACAAUAGCAACAACACCGAAAACACUCUUGAUCAACACUGAAAAUGGAUACCAAACAGCCAAAAAUAAGUUUGAUCAAGUUGACACUAGAUUGGCUCUGAUAUCAAUUGUGUUUCAUUAUGAAUCUCAAGGAUAAUCUUCCGAAAUUUCAGUCAAAAGCUGAUGAAGGGAUAUUCUUGGAUAUUCACACAAUUCAGUUGCUUAUAGGGUGUUAAACAAACAAACGAGAAAAGUUGAAGAAACAUUUAAUCUCACUUUUUAUGAUUAUUUUGUUAAACAAAUUGAAAAGACAUUCGAACAACAACCAAUAAUGAAUGAAUCAAAUGAUGAAUCUCAAACAUUGAAUUCGUUAGAUUUUGAUUUUUAUUUAAUUUUUGGUGUUCCAGAUCGAGCUAUUGAUGUCGAAGUUAAUGUUGAUGACAAUCGUGUUCUUGAAGCAUUGAAACAUUCAGAUGAAUCUACUCUCACACAGGAUAACAAUGAUUUGCUAUCAUCAACAAAUUCUUCAGGAAAUAACGAAAGUCUGCUAGUUAUAACGAAUGUUCAAGUUGAGGGGGACCACUUGAAUUCCUCUACUCAAGUUGAGGGGGAGCAUACUUUUAAGGGGGGAGAGAAAGAAAGUAUGUUGAUGGCAAGGGGGAUCAUUCUGAUACUAAUCCAAUUAUCGAGGGGGAGCAAGUUGGAAAUAAUACAAAUGUUUCGAAUGUUCAGGAUAAUGAGUUUCAUAACAUGAAUGAUAAUUUGUCAAAUGCAGGUGAAGGAUCUGAAAUUGAAGAAAUGUUCGAAGAUGCACCUUUGGACUUUGAUCCUACAUAUCCUCCAAUGGAUAGAUGGACUCGAAUUCAUCCAAAAGAACUUCUUGGUGAUCCUCAUGAUGGAGUGUUAACACGAGCUCAACUUCGUGCAAAUAAUGAGGUACUUAAUGUUCAUCAGGAAUUUUACAUGUUCAAUGUUUUUAUUUCGAAAAUUAAACAUAAUCAGUCAAGGCUGGUAUGGAAGAUCCUGAUUGGAUUGUUUCUAUGCAAUCUGAGCUUACUGAAUUUGAAAGAAAUAAAGUCUGCAUAUUAAUUCCCAAACCAAAAGAUGUUUCAAUUGUGGGCUUAAAAUGGAUAUUUAAAAAUAAAACAGAUAAAGAUGGUAAUAUUGUCCGAAAAAAGCUAGGCUUGUAGUUAAAGGUUAUUCGCAACAAGAAGGUACAGAUUAUGAGGAAACCUUUUCCGCUGUCGCAAGACUUGAGGCAGUUCGAAUAUUUUUAGCCUGUACAACGCACAAGGAUUUUGAUGUCUACCAGAUGGAUGUUAAGUGUGCGUUUCUCAACGGUGAACUCGAAGAGAUGGUGUACGUUGAACACCCCCCGGGUAUUAUAAACGAAGAAUUCCCUGAUCAUUUUUAUAUUUUAGAUAAAUUUGUUUAUGGGUUAAAACAAGCACCAAGAGCCUGGUAUGCAACUCUUACCAAUUUCUUAAAGUAAUCAAAAUUUAAACAAGGAUCAGUUGAUACCACUCUCUUUUGAAACAAAGUUGGGAAUCAUCUCAUGCUUGUUCAAAUUUAUGUCGAUGAUAUUACUUUUGGUUCUACUGACCCUGCUUUGUCAAAAGAAUUCGAAAAUAUGAUGAAAAGCCAAUUUGAGAUAAGCAUGAUGGGGAAGAUAAACAAUUUUCUAGGAUUAAAUAUUUGUCAAAACAGAGAAUGAAUAUUUAUUAAUCAAGAUAAGUAUACAAGAAAUCUGCUUGAAAAUUAUGGAAUGGCGAAUAACACAAAGUUAAGAGUACCAAUGGCAUUUGGAACAAGCCUUAAUCCUUCGUUGGAUAAACCAGCUGUUGAUCUUAAAUUGUAUCAAAGCAUGAUAGGUUCGUUACUUUACCUCACGGAAAGUCGACCUGAUAUUAUGUUUUCUGCGUGCAAUUGUGCUAGGUAUAAAUCGAAUCCCAGGGAACCUCAUUUAACUGCAGUCAAGAAUAGAUUUCGCUAUCUCAAAGGAACAACUUCGUUAGGACUGUGGUAUCCUUCAAAGACAGGCUUUUUCAUACAAGCAUUCUUAGAUGCUGAUUUUGGUGGUGGUAAUCUUGAUCGCAAAAGCACAAGUGACAAAUGUUAACUACUAGAUGGGAAGCUUGUAAGUUGGCCAUCGAAAAAGCAAACUUGUGUUUCGAUUUCAACAGCAGAAGUUGAAUAUGUUGUUGUUGCAACUUUCACCUAACAAAUCAUAUGGAUACAAAGUCAACUACGUGAUUAUGCGGUAAACAUGAAGAAAAUUCCAUUGUAUUGUGACUCACAAAGUGCCAUUCGCAUCUGCCAUAACCCUGUGCAAUAUUCGAAAACAAAACACAUUGCUCUUCGUUACCAUUUUAUCAAAGAUCACGUUGAAUAUGGAAACAUAGAAGUUCAUUUUGUAAAGACAACUGAUCAGCUUGCUGAUAUCUUUACAAAACCAUUAGAUGAAAAAUAUUUUAUGAGAA